rnacentral:rRNA from 1 species
CCUACGGGAGGCAGCAGUGGGGAAUCUUGCGCAAUGGGCGAAAGCCUGACGCAGCAACGCCGCGUGCGGGAUGAAGGCCUUCGGGUUGUAAACCGCUUUUACCAGGAACGAAAAUGACGGUACCUGGAGAAUAAGGUGCGGCCAACUACGUGCCAGCAGCCGCGGUGACACGUAGGCACCAAGCGUUGUCCGGAUUUAUUGGGCGUAAAGAGCUCGUAGGCGGUUCAGUAAGUCGGGUGUGAAAACUCUGGGCUUAACCCAGAGACGCCACUCGAUACUACUGUGACUAGAGUUCGGUAGGGGAGCAGGGAAUUCCUGGUGUAGCGGUGAAAUGCGCAGAUAUCAGGAGGAACACCGAUGGCGAAGGCACUGCUCUGGGCCGAAACUGACGCUGAGGAGCGAAAGCGUGGGUAGCAAACAGGAUUAGAUACCCUGGUAGUCCACGCCGUAAACGGUGGGCACUAGGUGUGGGUUCCAACCAACGGAAUCCGCGCCGUCGCUAACGCAUUAAGUGCCCCGCCUGGGGAGUACGGCCGCAAGGUUAAAACUCAAAGGAAUUGACGG